GACGAACCGUGCAAACGUUAUUCGGAAUCACUGGGCUUAAAGCGUGCGUAGGCGGCUGAGAAAGUUGGGUGUGAAAUCCCUCGGCUCAACCGAGGAAUUGCGCUCAAAACUACUUGGCUUGAGGGAGUUAGAGGUGAGCGGAACUAAUGGUGGAGCGGUGAAAUGCGUUGAUAUCAUUAGGAACACCGGUGGCGAAAGCGGCUCACUGGGACUCUUCUGACGCUGAGGCACGAAAGCUAGGGUAGCGAACGGG
rnacentral:rRNA from 1 species